rnacentral:rRNA from 1 species
UACGAAGGGGGCUAGCGUUGCUCGGAAUCACUGGGCGUAAAGCGCACGUAGGCGGAUUGUUAAGUCAGGGGUGAAAUCCUGGAGCUUAACUCCAGAACUGCCUUUGAUACUGAAGAUCUUGAGUUCGGGAGAGGUGAGUGGAACUGCGAGUGUAGAGGUGAAAUUCGUAGAUAUUCGCAAGAACACCAGUGGCGAAGGCGGCUCACUGGCCCGAUACUGACGCUGAGGCACGAAAGCGUGGGGAGCAAACAGG